CACUUGUUGGCAAGGACAACCAAGCCUGUCUGAUUGUCUUCGAAGAAUGUUUGUCCCAAAACAUAACUUUCCACUUUUCACAACAAGUAAGUCUACAACUGAUCAGCUCUGGAGACCUUUUCAUCUUCUUUGCAGCCACCAUCUUCCUGCCUGAAGUGCAGGACAGCCGUCAACCAAGAGCAGCCGCCAGCCAGGUGACCGGGAGUAAGACUGAGUUCUUAUGACUGGUAUGGAAACGAUCGUAUUACUCUCAUUUCCAAAGCUAACGAUGCCAGUCUUCUCAGCAAAAAGACUGAUUAAAAGUCCCUAAACACCAUGCUGUGUGAAAUACUGACAGUUUCAAGUGCUUAGUGAGUUCUGACCUAAGUUAUAGAUAAUCUCACCUUUUAUUUUCUAAAGUCUCAGUCUUACAGCUUUCUUGUUAUAAAGUUAGCUCAUGCUCUCUUUCAUUCUCUCUCUCAGUCUCUCUCUCUCCCCCCUUCCACCUUCCUCCUUCCCCUUCUCCUUCCUUUCCUCUUCCCCUCCCUGCCCUGUGACCUGACUGGCCUUGAAUUCCCUGUCUCACUUCCCAGGUGCUGGAAUUAGAGCCAUGCAGCACUGCCUGGCUUAUGACCCUCUGAGGACAGAACCCAGGGCUUCCUUCAUGACAAGCAUGCAGGCCCUUUACCAACUGAGUUACACCCGUGUAGUUCUUUUCUUUAACUGUUACAUUCUUCUUUAUUCAGAAACAUGGUCAUACAUCACAUGAUGGCAUUUCAAGUCCACGGAUGGAACCCAGACAGUAGAGGUCCUAUACAAAUAUGCAGCCAGUGGCACUAGCUUAAGUUCAUUCUAUAAGGUUCACGCUACUGAAGACAAGCUUACCUGUGAUGCUUUUCUCAGAAUAUAUCCCCACUGACAGGUAGUAUGUGACUUGCAGCUCCACAUUUCAAGUGAACGUAAGCGCAUGCACUGUUUAUGCUGAGGACCUGCCAGCACCUCCACCAGAUGGCUCACAACUGCCUGGGACUCCUCCAAUUCCAGGGGAUCAUCUAAUGGCCCCCAUGCUGGUCUCCAUGGACACCACACUUCUGUGCACAUAUCCAUACACAGAUACACACACAAAUACACACACAUACACAUAUGCCACACUUGCACCUGUGAAGGCCAGAAGACAGCAUUGCAUCCCUGGAGCUGGAGUGACAGGAGUCUGAGCCCCUAGCAUGAGCUGGCAGCAAGCUCUAAACCAAUGUGCCCUCUCUCCAGCUCCCCAUUCUGUCAACUUCCUCAAGCAACCCACAAACUACUGAAAGGUUCCCUAACAGCUAAAGGAUAUGUGGAUCUAUUCUGGUCUCUGAGGAAUUUCUCUACAACAAACUCAUUGCUUCAGGCACAAGUCCAUUCUGCACUCAGUUGCUUUUAGUAAGUUUUUACUUAUAAUGAAAUGACUCAAACCUGUAGUAACUUCACCAAUUCGCUGACUCUGCUGCUAGCAGGAUGUGGGUUAUACGUAACACCUCCCCCGUGCACGUCCUUCAAUCUGCUCACAGCAUCCAUCCUUCUCAUUUCUCUUCUCAGGCACGGAUGUCACACACCUACACCCCGCCUCACCCGAGUACUCUACAUUCCUCACUCCCUGUUAACACCACUCUAAAAAUGGGGUGGCAACUACCUCUGACUCUGCUCAUCAAAAGCACAUACUCCUCACACUGACGGCUUUUUUUCUGGAAGUAGAAUAAACUCGUUACAAACACAGUAGUGAAAUAGUAAGCACAAGGCUGAGGCUGUCAGAACAAGUCACCUUCCCUACAGAUGUUCCGGGGUCAUUACAGGUCAUCUAAGCAUCGCCUCUGUCCUAACUGCCAGCGCGACAGCCACCUCUCUCCUGUACAAAUGCACGCUGACCAUUAUGACUAUCUGGGAUUGGAGGAAGCUUUGGUUCUCCAAGGCCUGCGAGUUCUCCCGGGUCACUGGAACUGAACUGGUCCAGCUGCCCCAAGAGUGCUCACUGCCAAGUGUCCCCACUGUUUCACAGGGUGACAGGAGAAGACAGAGUAGGAAGGGAAACCUUCUUGCCUAAGUACAACUGUGAGCAAAUGGGCAUACUACAGGUGUACGCUUUACAGCUGGACUCGAACUGCCCAGACUGAGUGGACUGAGACUCCGGAGCCAACGGUGAGUCUGAAAGUGACUCACAGGAAGUGCCAACAAAGUCACAGAAGAGUAAGAGCCCUGUCAUGGGCUCAAUACUGGCCUCCAAAUCCAGGCCCACCUAACCUUGAUUGGGAGAAGUAUUUACCUACAGGGUUUGAAAUGAAAUCACCCAGACUCCACUGACCUCACAGAGGAAAGGAGGCGGAGCAGGAAACAUAACUAGAGUAUCUGCCAGGUCUGUGCAAGACCUAGAGAGGACAAGGAGGCUCCCUGAGCCUUCAGAAGAGCCUGGCUUCUGGACUCCAAGCCGUUUGAUAAAGUCCUGUUUCUGGUGCUUUGCCAAAGCAGCCACAGCAGAUGCCCGCAUCUCAGUACCAAGAAGUAGAGUGCAGCUGCAGACAGCCUAAGAGAUGGAAGACGGAUGCUAAAGAAAAUCUUAGGAGCUUGAUUGAAGUAAAGGAAGUCAGCCAAGGAGACAGGGCUGUCUUCCCCACAGCCUUGCUGGUACCGUUAGACCUGACUUCUAGUCUUCAGAACUGACUUCAUUCCCACUAGAGGUCUGUCAUGGUGACCCUCCUCUAACAGAACCAACAGGGCAGCAACUACUGAUGACCAGCACUGCCAGGUCAGGAGCACUUGACCUACAGUCUCACCAUCUUGAUUCCUUCCUGGUCUACCACAGGUCAUGUGAUCUUGGGAAAGAACCGGCCCCCCUCUGCCUUCCCCACAGAGAACACUGACAGUCCUUGGAACAAUGUACUUCGGUAGGGUUACAGUGUGUAAGGGGUGGGAGGUGGGGCAGAGAUGGCUCAGAAGUUAACAGCCCAUUCUGUCCUAGCAGAGAUCUGAGCUUGUUUCCCAGCACCCACGGUAGAUGGAUCACAACUGUCUAUAAAUCUAGCUCCAGGCAUUCAGACACCUCCGGCUUCCAUGGGUGCCUGCAGGCAGGCAGGCAAGCAGGCAGGCAGGCAGGCAGGCAGGCAGGCAGGCAGGCAGACAACACACACACACACACCCCCACUUAAAAAAUAAAGGGCUGGAGAGAUGGUUCAGUGGUUAAGAGCACUGACUGUUUUUGCAGAGGACCCCAGUUUCAUCUCUAGAACACUCACGGUAGCUCAUAGCCACCUGCAAUUCCAGUACUAGGGGAUCCAACAUCCUCGUCAAACCUCCAAAGGUAUCAAGCACACACAAAGUACACUCACAAAUACAGGGAAAACACCCACACACAUAAAACAAUUAAAUCCUUUAAAAAAAAAUGCACAUACUACCAACCAAUGAGUACACAUGCCUAUGAAUUUCAUGAAGUCACUGUUUUUUAUAGCUGAGUAGCACUCCAUUGUAUAAAUGUACCAUUUUCUGUAUCCAUUCCUCUAUUGAAGGGCAUCUGGGUUCUUUCUAGCUUCCAGCUAUCAUAAAUAAGGCUGCUAUGAACAUAGUGGAGCAUCUUUUGGGUAUAGAAUCGUGCCCACAUCUGGCAGGUCCACAUCUGCACUUUGCCAGUCUAUAAGCAGGGCCGUGCCUGUGCUCAUCUACAUCAUCCACAGGGCCUGAGGGUCGGCCUUCAGCACCACAACUGUGCUGUUUUUACAGAUGGGGCAGAUUUCCUAAGCACUUCAGGAUGUGAGAGGAGGAGUUCAGGGGCAGAGAGGGUUCUGAGAAGGCAAGGCACAAAUGAACAGAGAUCUGAAGGACAGUUGGUUUUAGGUGGUGAGAAGGGCGCUGAAUGUGUGAACCUGGGCUACAGGGUACAUGCUGAUAACAGGAAAGGGUUACUUAGCUUAGAGAAAAGGAAAAACAUCAUAAAAAUGUUUUGAUCAUCAGUCACUCACUGUAUAGUGACAAGCCUGUAGUAUCAAGACUGGGGGCAGAGUGGGGUAGGGGUGAGGUCAGAAGUUCAAGGUCAUCUUCAGCCUUAUACAGAUUCAAGGCCAACCUCAGGAGAGAAAGACAAUGUUUCAGAGCUGGAGAGAUAGCUGAUCGGUUAAGAGCACUGACUGCUCUCCAGGACCCACGUUCAAUUCCCAGCAUCCACAUGGCAGCUCACAACUGUCUAACUCCAGUUCCAGAGGAUCUGGCAACUCAUGCUCAUGCACAUGCAAGACAAAAUGCAAUGCACACAAAAAUAAAUAAAAUAAAUAGAGAAGCUGUCUCAAAGAAAAGUGUUAAAAAGAUGACUUCAGGGUGUGGGAGACAUGGCUCAGUGGUUAAGAGCACUACCUGCUCUUCCACAGGAUACAGGUUCAGUUCCUAGCACCUCCAUGGCGGCCUUCUGUAACUAUAGUCCCAGGCAAUCUGAUGCUUCACAUCCGGCAUACAAGCAGUAUAUAGAUAUACAUGCAGGUUGGUGGUGCUGGAAUCUUAACCCCAGCAUUUGGAAGGCAGAGGCAGGCUGAUCUCUGUGAGCUCCAGGGCAGCCUGGGGUACCUAAGGAAAACCGUGUUUCAAAACCACAAAACGAGAGCUGAGAAGACAACUGGGAAGGCUGAGAGCACUGGCUGCGCUUACGAAGGACCAGGGUCCCCUCCCCAGCAUCCACAUGGAAGCUCGUCCGGAUCGAACAACUUUUCCAGCCUAUUCAGACACCGGGCACACAUGACAAACACACAUACAGGCCAACACCCAUACACAUAAGAAAGAAAUGAAUCUAUUUUUUUUCAAAACAAAAUACCAAAAGAGAAACCCA